UACGGAGGGUGCGAGCGUUGUCCGGAAUCACUGGGCGUAAAGGGCGCGUAGGCGGUCCCUUAAGCGUGUGGUGAAAGCCCACGGCUCAACCAUGGAAGUGCAUCCGAAACUGCUGAGCUUGAGUACUUAAGAGGAUCGCGGAAUUCCCGGUGUAGAGGUGAAAUUCGUAGAUAUCGGGAGGAACACCAGUGGCGAAGGCGGCGAUCUGGGAAGAUACUGACGCUGAGGUGCGAAAGCGUGGGGGAGCAAACAGG
rnacentral:rRNA from 1 species